rnacentral:tRNA from 1 species
CUAGAACUUAGUAUAGCGUGGUAGUGCGGAGAUUUUUGAGCUCUCAGGGUUAGGUUCGAUUCCUAGAGUUCUAG